AUACGAAGGGGGCUAGCGUUGUUCGGAAUUACUGGGCGUAAAGCGCGCGUAGGCGGACUGAUCAGUUAGGGGUGAAAUCCCAGGGCUUAACCCUGGAACUGCCUCUAAUACUGUCAGUCUUGAGUUCGGGAGAGGUGAGUGGAAUUCCUAGUGUAGAGGUGAAAUUCGUAGAUAUUGGGAAGAACACCGGUGGCGAAGGCGGCCAUCUGGACCGGCACUGACGCUGAGGCGCGAAAGCGUGGGGAGCAAACAGGAUUAGAUACCCCGGUAGUCC
rnacentral:rRNA from 1 species